rnacentral:rRNA from 1 species
AUGCACGCUGGCGGCGUGCCUAAUACAUGCACGUCGCGCGAACAGACGAGGAGCUUGCUCCUCUGACGUUAGCGGCGGACGGGUGAGUAACACGUGGAUAACCUACCUAUAAGACUGGGAUAACUUCGGGAAACCGGAGCUAAUACCGGAUAAUAUAUUGAACCGCAUGGUUCAAUAGUGAAAGACGGUUUUGCUGUCACUUAUAGAUGGAUCCGCGCCGCAUUAGCUAGUUGGUAAGGUAACGGCUUACCAAGGCAACGAUGCGUAGCCGACCUGAGAGGGUGAUCGGCCACACUGGAACUGAGACACGGUCCAGACUCCUACGGGAGGCAGUAGUAGGGAAUCUUCCGCAAUGGGCGAAAGCCUGACGGAGCAACGCCGCGUGAGUGAUGAAGGUCUUCGGAUCGUAAAACUCUGUUAUUAGGGAAGAACAAAUGUGUAAGUAACUAUGCACGUCUUGACGGUACCUAAUCAGAAAGCCACGGCUAACUACGUG